AUUGAACGCUGGCGGCAGGCCUAACACAUGCGAGUCGAACGGUAACAGGAAGAAGCUUGCUUCUUUGCUGACGAGUGGCGGACGGGUGAGUAAUGUCUGGGAAACUGCCUGAUGGAGGGGGAUAACUACUGGAAACGGUAGCUAAUACCGCAUAACGUCGCAAGACCAAAGAGGGGGACCUUCGGGCCUCUUGCCAUCGGAUGUGCCCAGAUGGGAUUAGCUAGUAGGUGGGGUAACGGCUCACCUAGGCGACGAUCCCUAGCUGGUCUGAGAGGAUGACCAGCCACACUGGAACUGAGACACGGUCCAGACUCCUACGGGAGGCAGCAGUGGGGAAUAUUGCACAAUGGGCGCAAGCCUGAUGCAGCCAUGCCGCGUGUAUGAAGAAGGCCUUCGGGUUGUAAAGUACUUUCAGCGGGGAGGAAGGGAGUAAAGUUAAUACCCUUGCUCAUUGACGUUACCCGCAGAAGAAGCACCGGCUAACUCCGUG
rnacentral:rRNA from 1 species